rnacentral:lncRNA from 1 species
GUACAUUAGGGCAGUCUUUCGUUCGGUGUCCUUUGCGACCACAGUGGAAACACUUGCCUUUCAACGUUCCAUCUGAUUUGGGCUUUUUGUUGUUUCCUGGCUUCUUGUUAAAUCUCUUCCUCUUCUUUCCAAUUUCGCCUUUCGGCUUGGAGCCAGAGGAGCUAGCAAUUGCCGCAUGAGCAUGGCCACCCUUACCCUUAAGACCACUUUCUACAUUUUGCAACUCGUUCAUCAACUCAAUUAAUGACAUAUUCAUCUUGUGCAAGUGAUAGUACAUAGUAAACUAUGAAAACAUAUCAGAUAAAGAAUUCAAUACAAUAUCAACUUCAGUUUCCUGAUCAAUAGUUGCACCCAGAUUCUCCGCCACUUUGAAGUGUGCAAUCAUAGUCAACAUAUGAUCCUUCACAAGCUUUCCGGGUUUCAUGCGGAUGUUCUGUAAGGCACGAAUGGCCUCAAAGCCAGCCCUCCUACUUUGAUGUCCAAACAUGCCCUUCAGGCUUUUUAGAAUGUCAUAAAAGGUCUCCUGACUUUCAAGGUUUUG